rnacentral:rRNA from 1 species
UACGAAGGGGGCGAGCGUUGUCCGGAUUUAUUGGGCGUAAAGAGCGUGUAGGCGGUCAGGUAGGUCCGUUGUGAAAACUCGAGGCUCAACCUCGAGACGCCGAUGGAAACCAUCUGACUAGAGUCCGGAAGAGGAGAGUGGAAUUCCUGGUGUAGCGGUGAAAUGCGCAGAUAUCAGGAGGAACACCGGUGGCGAAGGCGGUUCUCUGGGCAUGUCCUGACGCUGAGGAGCGAAAGUGUGGGGAGCGAACAGG